UUGCGUGUCCUACUUGUGGACUACUAACGCUAGCUUCCCCCCAUAUCAAAUACUAGUUAGGUUAGGCUACACCAGCUAACACUAUGCGACUACGUUACAUUUUUCAUAGAGCAUGGCUAGUCUUUUGAAUUAUUAAUCCUGGAAGUAACGUCACGAACAACCUGCGUUAUGCGAAUAUGGCUGUGGGGUAGCUCCACUUUAUUCUUGUUUAUCAUGUCAGUUUUCACAUUCUUUGCGAAACUGUUGGCCUGACGUCAUGCGAUAUAAUCGCAUAACAGGAAUCUAGUUGGUCUGGCGAAACGCAUGCACUUUAAUUCGCGUAAACACCAGAAACGUACAGGGUGCAACUGGAACUAAAGUGCUGUCGUUAUUGCGAAUGGAAAGCGUAUUAAUGGGUGGGCUUCGUCUGUCACUAAAGCAACGAUAUUUGGUCCUGCUGUGUUUUGCUGUCGGAGCGAUAAUCGUGUAUCAGGUCACGAGGAAUCGCCUUGAAGGGAGAAGAAUGAGCCGUGUGGAAGGUCUGAGGGCCAACUCAUCUGAGUUCACUCUGGAGGGAGAACCCUUCCGCAUCCUGGGGGGCUCCAUCCAUUACUUCCGUGUCCCGAGAGCCUACUGGGAGGACCGACUGCUGAAGAUGAAGGCCUGUGGCCUCAACACUCUCACCACGUAUGUGCCGUGGAACCUGCAUGAGCCUGAGCGAGGGGUGUUCAACUUUGAGGACCAGCUGGAUUUAGAAGCUUACCUCCGCCUAGCAGGCAGCUUGGGCCUCUGGGUCAUUCUGCGUCCAGGGCCGUACAUCUGUGCUGAGUGGGAUUUAGGGGGACUACCCAGUUGGCUGCUGCGGGAUCACAACAUGAAACUAAGAACAACCUACCCAAGAUUCACUGAUGCAGUCAACUCCUUCUUUCAUCAACUCAUUAAGAAAGUUGUUCCACAUCAGUAUUCCGAGGGUGGCCCAAUCAUCGCAGUUCAAGUGGAGAAUGAGUAUGGCUCCUAUGCUAAAGAUGGAGAGUACAUGCCUUUCAUCAAGGAGGCGUUAUUGUCCAGGGCCAUCACAGAGCUGCUGCUGACUUCAGACAACAAGGAAGGACUAAAGCGUGGAGGAGUGAAAGGAGCACUAGAAACCAUCAAUUUCCAGAAACUGAACCCGAAUGACAUCAAGUAUCUGGAUGGAAUACAACCUCACAAACCGAAGAUGGUGAUGGAGUACUGGUCUGGCUGGUUCGAUCUUUGGGGGGACCUUCAUCACGUGUACACAGCUGAGGACAUGAUGCCUGUGGUCACGGAGAUCCUUAAACUAGACAUGUCCAUCAACCUCUACAUGUUCCACGGAGGGACGAAUUUUGGCUUCAUGAGCGGAGCGUUUGCCGUUGGAAUGCCGGCACCUAAACCCAUGGUGACAAGCUAUGAUUACGAUGCUCCAUUAUCUGAGGCUGGGGAUUACACCACCAAGUACCAUCUUCUGAGGAAUGUAUUCAGCCGCUACCACGCCCAGCCUCUCCCUGAACUGCCCUCUCAUCAGGAGAGGAGAGCGUACCAGCCUGUUGUCAUCCAGCAACACCUGUCUCUGUGGGACAGUCUGCAUUUCACUGACAAGCCUUUCAAGUCAGAGAGGCCGGUGAACAUGGAGAAUCUCCCUGUCAACAACAACAAUGGUCAGUCUUACGGGUACACGCUGUAUGAGACGACCAUCACCAGCGAGGGAACCCUCAACUCAAAGAACAACAUCAGAGACAGAGCUCUGGUUUUUGUCGGCAAAUAUUUUAUUGGUGUUCUGGAUUAUACAACGCAAGAACUCGCACUCCCGGAUGGGAAGGGAAAAAGAACUCUGAGUUUACUGGUGGAGAACUGUGGAAGAGUGAAUUAUGGGAACAGUCUGGAUGAGCAGCGCAAAGGUCUUGUUGGAGAUAUCGAGUUAAACAAGCGGCCCCUCCGUGACUUCAUCAUUCGUAGUCUGGACAUGAAGCCAGGCUUUGUAAACAGGUUGGUGUCUUUCAGUUAUUACCCAGUUUCCCUCCAUGUUUGUGUUUCUCUGUCAUUACGCCUGCCUGCUCCUGAUUCAAUCCAGCUGAUUACCUCUCUGCUUAACACAAUCACAGUGAUGGCAAAAUGCAGAAAACCAUAACACAGCCAUCCAAUACAGCAUGUCAUGUUAAACAUCUAAAAUUAUCAGCAGCGCAGUAGGUAGAUCAGUUAAGAUAUGUACUCUUAUCAAUGUUCUAGAGCCUCAACAUGAGAGGAAAACCUUCACCUUUUUGUCACUGACAGAGAUAGUGUAGAACACUAUCAUGUACAGUAUUAGCAGAAUCCAAACUAUGUUCGAAGUGGAUACAACAAUAAAAACACCUUGUGAAAGCGAGAGAUAAAAAUACGAUUCAUCCAAAGUUGCAUUUUAGCGAGCAGCAAGUGUCUGACAGCUUAAAUGUAAGAUGUCAGACAGCCUAGAAUUUAUUUCAGUAUUAUGACAAACUUGCAGCAUCAGCAAAGAAGAGCAGUAAUUAAAUGCUGAAGUAAAACACCAACAUGGAUAAGCCUUUAACGGGACAGUUAUUCAAUCGUACAAUAUAUUUCCCAAAGAACUGACAAGACCAUUGAGUCAACACCAAGACACCGACUAAAUACAAAUGUACCCAACCUUGUACAGUGCCAUUGUAAACAAAUGCUGUGCAAUGACAAAAAGGGAAAUGUGUGAGCGAUUUGGAAUCGGGGCAGGUUUAGAUUUGCUGGAUGACAAAGGUUGUCUUAAAAGUUAAAUAUCUUGCAAACUGUUUGACAAAAUGGCGGAUCUGUAAUGUGGCACCCAUCCCAUAAUAAAUAUUGAUAUAUUCUCCACAACAACCAAGCAUUAUUUGGGUAAUAUUCCGUGUAACAUUCCCGUAUAUUGAUAAUCACAUGGAACAUUAGUGUCAUUAACACCAGCUUGAAGUCAAAAAUCAUCCACAACCCUUCGUAAUCACAAAACCUUUGUUGAUAUCUAGAAUUUCUAGGUGUUAUCUUGUAAUAUUUACCCUCUGUAUGCAGCUCAUAUUUGUUGCACAGAUGAUAAACAUCAGGUUCAGCAGGAUUGGCUAACCUUCUAGCUUAUUUAGAGGUUCAUAUUUGCACUUAGUGGACUAUUUACAUAUUUGUUCAAGUCAUUGUGGGUCUCUCUUCAUGUGCUGAAAAAUUUGCAAUCUCUUUUCCUCAGCGCUGUGUUGAAAAUGUCAAGGCCUGAAGCCCUUUAUGAAUGAACACUAAAAAGGUAUAACUGAGGAAGAAUUUUUCUUCUAUCAUGGCAACCUUUGCGUUUACUUGGAGGCAAAAUAUAACCUAUAACCAAAACAAAGAUAGUGAUUGGGAAUAUUGUCCAGAGUUUCCUUUGACAUUUACUGUCGGCAUAUGAAGACGAAUGACAUGAUGCACUGUGGACUGCUGGCCGAAGACCUACAAGUCCAGACUGCGUUUUUGAGAAAAGCUGCCACAGACUGUGUCUAAACAAUACAUUAGAUACAUCAAGUCUUGAGAGUUCAGGCCACUGGCUGUCUAUGCGUCAGCGGCCCACAUUCCCAGCUUUUUUCCAGGCCAGACUCUAUGUGAACAGUUUGC